AGGCAGCAGUGGGGAAUUUUGGACAAUGGGGGCAACCCUGAUCCAGCCAUUCCGCGUGAGUGAAGAAGGCCUUCGGGUUGUAAAGCUCUUUCGGACGGAACGAAAUGGUUACGGUUAAUACCUGUGACUGAUGACGGUACCGUAAGAAGAAGCACCGGCUAACUACGUGCCAGCAGCCGCGGUAAUACGUAGGGUGCGAGCGUUAAUCGGAAUUACUGGGCGUAAAGCGUGCGCAGGCGGUUAUUUAAGACAGGUGUGAAAUCCCCGGGCUUAACCUGGGAAUUGCGCUUGUGACUGGAUAGCUAGAGUGCGGCAGAGGGGGGUGGAAUUCCACGUGUAGCAGUGAAAUGCGUAGAGAUGUGGAGGAACACCGAUGGCGAAGGCAGCCCCCUGGGCCAGCACUGACGCUCAUGCACGAAAGCGUGGGGAG
rnacentral:rRNA from 1 species